rnacentral:rRNA from 1 species
AUUGAACGCUGGCGGCAGGCCUAACACAUGCAAGUCGAGCGGAUGAAGAGAGCUUGCUCUCUGAUUUAGCGGCGGACGGGUGAGUAAUGCCUAGGAAUCUGCCUGGUAGUGGGGGAUAACGUCCGGAAACGGGCGCUAAUACCGCAUACGUCCUACGGGAGAAAGCAGGGGACCUUCGGGCCUUGCGCUAUCAGAUGAGCCUAGGUCGGAUUAGCUAGUUGGUGAGGUAAUGGCUCACCAAGGCGACGAUCCGUAACGGGUCUGAGAGGAUGAUCAGUCACACUGGGACUGAGACACGGUCCAGACUCCUACGGGAGGCAGCAGUGGGGAAUAUUGGACAAUGGGCGAAAGCCUGAUCCAGCCAUGCCGCGUGUGUGAAGAAGGUCUUCGGAUUGUAAAGCACUUUAAGUUGGGAGGAAGGGCAGUAAGUUAAUACCUUGCUGUUUUGACGUUACCGACAGAAUAAGCACCGGCUAACUUCGUGCCAGCCGCCGCGGUAAUAC